GUUGGGUAGGGGAGCGUUCUGUAAGCCGUCGAAGGUGGUCUGUGAGGACUGCUGGAGGUAUCAGAAGUGCGAAUGCUGACAUAAGUAACGAUAAAGCGGGUGAAAAGCCCGCUCGCCGGAAGACCAAGGGUUCCUGUCCAACGUUAAUCGGGGCAGGGUGAGUCGACCCCUAAGGCGAGGCCGAAAGGCGUAGUCGAUGGGAAACAGGUUAAUAUUCCUGUACUCGGUGUUACUGCGAAGGGGGGACGGAGAAGGCUAUGUUAGCCGGGCGACGGUUGUCCCGGUUUAAGCGUGUAGGCUGGCGUUCCAGGCAAAUCCGGAACGCUGUAAGGCUGAGGCGUGAUGACGAGGCACCACGGUGCUGAAGUAACAAAUGCCCUGCUUCCAGGAAAAGCCUCUAAGCAUCAGGUAACACAGAAUCGUACCCCAAACCGACACAGGUGGUCAGGUAGAGAAUACCAAGGCGCUUGAGAGAACUCGGGUGAAGGAACUAGGCAAAAUGGUGCCGUAACUUCGGGAGAAGGCACGCUGUCGGUAAGUGAAACCCCCCGCGGGUGGAGCUGAAGGCAGUCGAAGAUACCAGCUGGCUGCAACUGUUUAUUAAAAACACAGCACUGUGCAAACACGAAAGUGGACGUAUACGGUGUGACGCCUGCCCGGUGCCGGAAGGUUAAUUGAUGGGGUUAUCGCAAGAGAAGCUCCUGAUCGAAGCCCCGGUAAACGGCGGCCGUAACUAUAACGGUCCUAAGGUAGCGAAAUUCCUUGUCGGGUAAGUUCCGACCUGCACGAAUGGCGUAAUGAUGGCCAGGCUGUCUCCACCCGAGACUCAGUGAAAUUGAACUCGCUGUGAAGAUGCAGUGUACCCGCGGCAAGACGGAAAGACCCCGUGAACCUUUACUACAGCUUGACACUGAACAUUGAGCCUUGAUGUGUAGGAUAGGUGGGAGGCUUUGAAGCGUGGACGCCAGUCUGCGUGGAGCCGACCUUGAAAUACCACCCUUUAACGUUUGAUGUUCUAACCUGGCGCCGUAAUCCGGCGUGGGGACAGUGUCUGGUGGGUAGUUUGACUGGGGCGGUCUCCUCCUAAAGAGUAACGGAGGAGCACGAAGGUCAGCUAAUCACGGUCGGACAUCGUGAGGUUAGUGCAAUGGCAUAAGCUGGCUUGACUGUGAGAGUGACGGCUCGAACAGGUGCGAAAGCAGGUCAUAGUGAUCCGGUGGUUCUGAAUGGAAGGGCCAUCGCUCAACGGAUAAAAGGUACUCCGGGGAUAACAGGCUGAUACCGCCCAAGAGUUCAUAUCGACGGCGGUGUUUGGCACCUCGAUGUCGGCUCAUCACAUCCUGGGGCUGAAGUAGGUCCCAAGGGUACGGCUGUUCGCCGUUUAAAGUGGUACGCGAGCUGGGUUUAGAACGUCGUGAGACAGUUCGGUCCCUAUCUGCCGUGGGCGCUGGAAGAUUGAGAGGGGUUGCUCCUAGUACGAGAGGACCGGAGUGAACGCACCACUGGUGUUCGGGUUGUCAUGCCAAUGGCACUGCCCGGUAGCUAAGUGCGGAAAAGAUAAGCGCUGAAAGCAUCUAAGCGCGAAACUUGCCUCGAGAUGAAUCUUCCCUGGGCCUUU
rnacentral:rRNA from 1 species